rnacentral:rRNA from 1 species
AAUGCUUGGCUCACGUCUUGCGAUUUUAUGAGUGUAAUGUAAAUAGGUUCACGAAUGCAAUUGGAGGGCAAGUCUGGUGCCAGCAGCCGCGGUAAUUCCAGCUCCAAUAGCGUAUAUUAAAGUUGUUGCAGUUAAAAAACUCGUAGUUGGAAUGGCAGUGUGUGCUGGCGAGCAUAGAUAAAGUAAUGCUUGCCGUGUGUGUGCACACUGGGCAUACGACGGGGCGGCCAUUCAGUUGGACUGCCGGCCGUGUAUGCCGACACGUUACUUUGACGAAAUUGGGGUGCUCAAAGCAGGCUCUGUCAGCCUGAACAUUUUAGCAUGGGAUAACACUGGGAACUGUCCUAUUUGUUGGUUACAUAGGUUAGCUCUUUGGUUAAUAGGGGCAGUUGGGGGCAUUAGUACUUGGAAGCUAGAGGUGAAAUUCUUUGGACUUUUCCAAUGACUACCUAAUGUCGAAGGCAUUUGCCAAGGAUGUCCGUUAAUCAAGAAUGAAGGUC